rnacentral:rRNA from 1 species
UACGAAGGGGCUAGCGUUGCUCGGAAUCACUGGGCGUAAAGGGUGCGUAGGCGGGUCUUUAAGUCAGGGUGAAUCCUGGAGCUCAACUCCAGAACUGCCUUUGAUACUGAGGAUCUUGAGUUCGGGAGAGGUGAGUGGAACUGCGAGUGUAGAGGUGAAUUCGUAGAUAUUCGCAAGAACACCAGUGGCGAAGGCGGCUCACUGGCCCGAUACUGAACGCUGAGGCACGAAAGCGUGGGAGCAACA